AUCCUUUUUCACCUUCACUUUCAGUCUUUGAUUCAGCUGGUUUAUCACAACAUACCCUGCCACAAAUGCUAAGGCUAGUUAGCAUGCCCACCGAUGAUGGCGGAUAUAUGGUUUUCCUGGGGCUUUAUCGACUCUGGCUGCCUUAAUUUGAGAGUGGCCAGACAGGAAGACGGUGUGGGGCAGACUGCCUAGUCGUACAUGGGUUUCUCACGCUCUAUUUCUGCUCCCCUUGAUUUUAGAAGAAGCGGCUGAACAGUCACCAGCAUCGCAGCGAAGCCACUACUAAAGAAACUGAUUUCUGUUUUCAUAGAGUAAAGACGCUCUGUGAGUCUGGGCGGCUUGUGAAAGGUUGAACUGCAGCUUUCCAGCCUCCCACAAGGCGUGGCUUAGCUGUUUGAUAGGGCGAAGUUUUUUCUCUGAACAUCUCAUUCCUGUAAACUGAGGACUGAGAGUUCACAAGAACUCUGCCCUCAUCACAACUUCUUCUGCAAAACCAUGAAGACAGUCACUAUUGAGUACUGUAAAGACUGAAGUUAUGCAUACCGCUACCAGGAACUAGCCGGCGUUCUCCGGCAGAUUCCUGGAGUGAAGGUAAAAGGAGUCACUGGGAGGACAGAUAGCUUUGAGGUAUCCCUGGAGGAUGAGCUUCUCUACUCAAAGCUAGAGACGAAGUCGUUUCCAGAUCCUGAGCAGAUGGCGGAGAAGUUGAUGGAGAAGCUUCCUGAUGGCAACGCCAAGAAGAAAUCCAAGAGACGGAUAUGCUCUGUCCUGUAAAAGGUGGAGAAACAAACAGUUAUAUUCACACUGGCAAAAAAAAACAAACGAAAAAAAACAGUCCAUAAACCUGUUGUGCACGUCCGGAGUAUGAAAAUUAGAGUAAGGAUUUUAAUUAAUGGAUGCAAAAUCUGUGUGUGCCAAAAUGAAAAGAUCUGAUAUGGCUCUGUCGCGGCUGUGAAUAUAAACAAGAUGUUUGUGAGAGCGGCUCUCUGGAUCCAGGCGGCGAUCGACGCCUCUUUUUAUGAAUGCACACACCUAAAACCCAAGUGGUGUGUGCACGAUGCAAGUCGAGAAGCUUCUCGGCCGCCUGGAGCCCGACAGUCUGCUUCAGUCUCAUCAAAGUUAUGAGAAACGGAGGGAGAAAAAAAAAACAGAUGCUCCUAAUGAAGAUUUGUAUAUAUUUGGGGAUUUCUUUGUUUAUACUACUGAACAGAAUCUACGUGCGUGUGGGAGUUUUUAAUCGCUCCUUAGAGUCUACUACGCCCCAGACUCUCAGGAACAUUCACUUAAUCUUUGCAAGAUGUAUUUGAUGUUUUUAUGAUCUAAAAUAUCUCAUUAAUAUCCGUUUUCCUCUGUCAAAGCAUCAUUACAGAGGAGCAAUAAAAACAUAAAAUCUGGUCUCAUAAUUCUAUUUUAUAUUUAACCUAAUCUCUGACCCACUUCUAUUCCCAUAAUAUCCUGCUGACCAAAAAUAAGCUGCAGAGCUGAGAAACAUGUUUUUCAGAUUGUGUGUCAUGCCCCACUGGGGAACAGGGAAGCCUGGGAACAUAAGACCAAUAAUGCCUGUACUUAAUAAACAUUUUAGUAGCACAUAACAUUCAACACAUGUGUGUAUAUAUCUGUAUCUAUAGAUGUAUGCAUAUGUAUUCCCCCCAAGACAGAUCAAAUUUGACUGAUACCAUUAAUUUGGGUGAAGCAAAUGUUGGUUUAUAUUAGCUUAGCUUUGUUAUUAUAUAAAAUAUUUCUUUAUCAAAUCACCUGCAUAACAUUAAAAAGUUUUUUUGUAAGUAGCCAAAGCUAUAAUUUUCCCAGAACUUUUAUUUUAUGCUAUUUUAUGCUGUUAACUUCCUGCUUGUAGUUUUUUUUUUUUAACCUUCAGUUAUGUUUUUUUUUUUUUUUUUCCCUAUCUUGAAUCUGAACAUAAAUGCCACGAUUUCUGCCAUUUACAGACUUUAUGCUAAGUUGCGCUAACUGGCUGCUAGCGUGGGAGAUUUUCUUUUGGGUUGUGUUUAACGUGGGAGUAUUUGGGUAAAGAAAUGCCAGACAUGUUUACUUUGGAUAUUUAUGACAAACCUCACAACAUGAACAACUGUACAAUAACAUUAUAAAGCAAAGUGCUACAUGGCCUGUAGUUGGACUCUUGAAACACUGCUCCUGUAACAUAUUUUGUUCCCGUUCAAUAAAAUGUAACUGAUUGCCA